UUCACAUUGUUGUGCCACCAUCACCACCAUUCAUCUCUAGAACUUUUUCACCCUCCCAACGGGAAACCCCGUACCCAUUAAACAAUAACUUUCUAUCUUCCCCCACCGCCAUCCCCUGGCAACCACUAUUCUGCUUUCGUCUCUACAAAUUUGACUACUCAACCUACCUCAUGUAAGUGGAAGCAUACAGUUGUCCUUUCGUGACUGGCUUCUUUCACUUAAGAGAAUGUCAAGUUUCAUCGAUGUUGUAGCAUGUGCCUGUACUUCAUUACCUUUUAUAGCUGAGUAAUAUUCAUUGUAUGGAUAGACCCCAUUUUGUUUCUCCAGUCAUCUGUUUGUUGAUGGACAUUUGCUUUGCUUCCACACAUUGAAUAUUGUGAAUAAUGCUACUAUGAACGUGUACGUACAAAUAUCUUAUAUAGCAUUUGUAUCUUAUCAGACUGUUCUUUUUUCUUUUAAACUUUUUUUUAAUAUUUUUUUUCUAAAGAUUUUAUUUCUUUAUCCAUGAGAGACACAGAGAGAGAGGCAGAGACACAGGCAGAGGGAGAAGCAGACUCCAUGCAGGGAGCCCGACGUGGGACUUGAUCCCAGGACUCCAGGAUCAUUCCCGGGGCUGAAGGGAGGCGCUUUAACCACUGAGCCACUCAGGCGUCCCCAUUCUUUACUUUAAAAAGAGAUUAAAGCAAUUUAAUGGCUCGUAAGAUAGGCAGCUUUCAGUAAAAGGAGACUCCAGGGUUUUCUUUAAUUCAUAGUCUUGGUUUUGUAAAACAGCCUAAGAUUUUUCCUCCAAUGCCCCUUCCUCCAUUAGUGUGUCUGGCAACUUUGCAAGGCAAAAGAAAGCUCACUUAACCUUGAGUUUUCCUAAGAAGUCCAUGAUUCUCUGUGGCCAUUUGACAGAAUAUGGGGGAGGCUGUUGGCCUUACUGCUCUGGAAUUCUAGGAUCAGAAGAACCAUCAUCAUUCACUCAUUUAUUCAUUCAAGCUUUUGACAAGCAUCAAUGGUCUGCUUCUGGGAGAUGUGAAGUAUUUGCAGUUAUGAGGGGGAAUGGCAACCCAGUUGAAAAAGCUGAUGUAACAAUGACAAGAGAAGAGGCCCACAUGUGUGAGUACUUCACUGCAGAAUACAUUCAUCUGUGUGGGAUGUCCAUUGUGACCACAGAGAUCUUUGACAGGGUUCUUUCGCCCUUUUGCUUCAUUUAGUUAUCCUUCACCCUUCUAUGGUAAUAGGUUGGUUUCUGACUAGUGUUGAUUUUAAUACUGCGGAAAGAUUGGAGGGUUGGCAAAAAAAAAAGGUCAUUUAUGAUGCUUUUAUUUGGAAUAAUAAAUCUUGGUGAUCAUUGUUUCUUCCA
rnacentral:lncRNA from 1 species